UCUAAAAUGGCAGAUAAGUGCAACGGAUUUAAGCUCCGUAUAUGAGAACGAAAGUUUCUCUUUUAGAA
rnacentral:tRNA from 1 species